rnacentral:rRNA from 1 species
CGCGUAGGCGGACUUUUAAGUUAGAGGUGAAAUCCCAGGGCUCAACCCUGGAACUGCCUUUAAUACUGGAAGUCUUGAGUUCGAGAGAGGUGAGUGGAAUUCCGAGUGUAGAGGUGAAAUUCGUAGAUAUUCGGAGGAACACCAGUGGCGAAGGCGGCUCACUGGCUCGAUACUGACGCUGAGGUGCGAAAGUGUGGGGAGCAAACA